rnacentral:rRNA from 1 species
UACGAAGGGGGCGAGCGUUGUUCGGAUUUACUGGGCGUAAAGGGCGCGUAGGCGGCGGGUCAAGUCGAGUGUGAAAGCCCCGGGCUCAACCUGGGAAUUGCGCUCGAGACUGGUCUGCUUGAGUUCGGGAGAGGAGAGUGGAAUUCCCAGUGUAGAGGUGAAAUUCGUAGAUAUUGAGAAGAACACCGGUGGCGAAGGCGGCUCUCUGGACCGAGACUGACGCUGAGGCGCGAAAGCGUGGGGAGCAAACAGG